UACGAAGGUCCCAAGCGUUAUCCGGAUUUAUUGGGUUUAAAGGGUGCGUAGGCGGGUUAUUAAGUCAGUGGUGAAAGCCUUCAGCUUAACUGAAGAACUGCCAUUGAUACUGAUGAUCUUGAGUAUGAUUGAGGUGGGCGGAAUGUGUCAUGUAGCGGUGAAAUGCUUAGAUAUGACACAGAACACCGAUUGCGAAGGCAGCUCACUAAGCCAUAACUGACGCUGAUGCAUGAAAGCGUGGGGAGCAAACAGG
rnacentral:rRNA from 1 species